GACGAACGCUGGCGGCGUGCUUAACACAUGCAAGUCGAACGGAAAGGCCUGUCCUUCCUUGUGUUGGACGGGUACUCGAGUGGCGAACGGGUGAGUAACACGUGAGUGAUCUGCCCCCAACUUGGGUAUAAGCCUGGGAAACUGGGUCUAAUUCCCGAUAGGACUGCAGGGUGGUGCCUGUGGUGGAAAACGAUUUUCUAGUGGUUGGGGAUGAGCUCGCGGCCUAUCAGCUUGUUGGUGGGGUAAUGGCCUACCAAGGCGGCGACGGGUAGCCGGCCUGAGAGGGUGGACGGCCACAUUGGGACUGAGAUACGGCCCAGACUCCUACGGGAGGCAGCAGUGGGGAAUAUUGCACAAUGGGCGGAAGCCUGAUGCAGCGACGCCGCGUGGGGGAUGACGGCCUUCGGGUUGUAAACUCCUUUCGACCGCGAGGAAGCCGCCUGGUUGGAAGGGUGGUGACGGUAGUGGUAGAAGAAGCACCGGCUAACUACGUG
rnacentral:rRNA from 1 species